rnacentral:misc_RNA from 1 species
GGGAGGUGCCGCGAGGGUCCAUGAUUUGGAGAUAGAUAGAGAUGUAUCCUGGCAAAGCUUGUGAGUCUCCUUUAGGGUAAAUUAACAGGCGACAAUCAUAGCCGCCAACCUCAAAGUACUUGCUCCAAAUUGCCCUAGCUUUAAUACGAGGGAAGUUGUGAACCGUCCAUCGGCAAACGGCGGAAUACUCUCCUCGACGAUCGACGGUCACGGU